ensembl:snRNA RNU6-469P RNA, U6 small nuclear 469, pseudogene
UUAAACAUGGUUCAAUUGUGCUCACAUUCGCAGCACAGAGAAGAUUAGCAUGGCUCCUGCACAAGGAUGACAUGCAAAUUCGUGAAGCAUUCCAUUAAAGG